UUACGGCUCAGUAACACGUCGAUAAUCUGCCCUUAGGUCUGGGAUACCCUUGGGAAACUGAGGCUAACACCGGAUAGGGGAUUUUCUCUGGAAUGAAUUAUCCCCAAAAAGCAAUGCCUAAGGAUGAGUCGGCGGCCGAUUAGGCUGUUGGUGAGGUAAUGGCUCACCAAACCGAAGAUCGGUAGGGGUCUUGAGAGAGAUAGCCUCGAGAAGGGCACUGAGAUACUGGCCCUAGCCCUACGGGGUGCAGCAGGCGCGAAACCUUUACAAUGCACGAACGUGUGAUAAGGGGAUCCUAAGUGCCUUGCUUAUGCAAGGCUUUUGCCAAGAGCAAAUAUCUUGGAGAAUAAGUGGUGGGUAAGACUGGUGCCAGCAGCCGCGGUAAUACCAGCGCCACAAGUGGUGAUCGACUUUAUUGGGCCUAAAGCGUUCGUAGCCGGUCUGAUAAAUUUCCUGUGAAAUUGUCAGGCUUAACUUGACAGCAUGCAGGAAAGACUAUCAGACUAGGAACCGGGAUGGGUCAGAGGUAUUCUUGGGGGAGCGGUAAAAUGCUAUAAUCCCAAGAGGACUAACAGUGGCGAAGGCGUCUGACUAGAACGGAUUCGACGGUGAUUGGACGAAAGCCAGGGGAGCAAUCCGGAUUAGAUACCCGAGUAGUCCUGGCUGUAAACGCUGCGAGCUAGGUGUUGCAUAUUCUUCGGGAAUAUGCAGUAUCGAAGCGAAGGCGAUAAGCUCGCCGCCUGGGAAGUACGGUCGCAAGGCUGAAACUUAAAGGAAUUGGCGGGGGAGCACAAUCG
rnacentral:rRNA from 1 species